rnacentral:misc_RNA from 1 species
UUUAGGAACUAACACUGUUAUUUGAAGACUAAAUAUGACGGGAUGUAGGAAUGGUUUAAAAGAACCUUUUUCUUGAACAACUUUAGUGAUUCGCCGAAGGAAUUCAUUAAUACACAAGUAAACUUGUCGUCGCGACCCGACACGAUUGUACAUAGGUUGCUCUAUAAGACAGAAUACCAUGAAAAACUCAGCUUGGUGUGUCGUGCUCCAACUGCUGGCUUUUGUAGGAUUUGAAAAAGUUUUAAGAGUGUCAGGCGGAUGGCAGCAUUUGGAAAGUUAUUACCUGGAAACAUCACUACCAUACGAUUUGAUGAACCAGGUGUCGCUGGAUGAGUGCCAAGCGCAGUGUAUUUCAUUAGGCACUGAUUGUCCGGCUAUCAACUACAAACCAAAUGGUCAAAAGUGCCAGAUACUACAACAGAAAGACGGAGAUAACGGGUGUAUAUUGGUAUAUGCACAUAACAGUUUCAGCUAUUACGAGAAAACCAACAGCGAAAACGAUACAGUCGUGACAAGUAAAAAACCUGGCCGUUUUUUCAGAAGAUACGUCGGAUACAAAAUGCCUGCUCACUUGGUGAUCGUCAACGAGACAGUGCUACAACGUACGAUUUGUGCGUUCAACUGCAUGGUGACCCCCCUCUGUAUGUCGUUCAGCAUACAGCCAGAAACGUACGGCUUGUCAUAUUUCUGCGAACUGAACAGUGCACGGAGGAACAACAACGGAUCCAAUCUACUUUCUGAUUCAAGUUUCUACUAUUUUGAGUGAUAUGUAAAAUAUAACAUAUCCUCCACAUGUUCAGAAGGCCGACAAAGCACUACAUAAGUUUGGUGAAGUUUACAGAAAAGGUCGAAAUCCAUUGGAAUUAUCCGACGUCUACCUAACAAUCGAACUGGUGACCGAUUCAAAUAUAAUUAUGAUGUAGCCCCUAUACCACAUAGAAUACCACACCAAAUUGGAAGGGAACAAUGUAUAUACAAUACGAUUUUAUUGGUAGUUUUCAAUUGGAAAAAUACCUCAGUGCCUUGAAUAGCUGAGCGUGAUAAUAAUAAAAUUAGCAUUUAAAGCUGGUAAAAAUGCAAUUUUUCAUGUCAAGGCCUACAUAUAUAAAAUGUCUUACAGAUACAUUAUUACAAGGUUUAAUAUAAACAGUCCAUGACAUUUUGACACUCAGUACCGAAUAUAAAAAUAUGUGUACAAUUCAUUCAAAUUGCGACAGAAUGGCUCAAUUUUUAGUAUCUCUUUAAUAAAACAUAUGCGAAAAAAUUUGUAUCGAUUAUACCGACACAACCAUGUAACAGUUUAAUGCAACAAACCUCGUUUGCAUAUUUUCUUGAAAUCGAGCGACAAUUUAGCUCAGAUAAUUUGGAAAGCAUGAAUUGCUCCCUUUUCACUAUUGUCAUAUUUUGGCAUAUUUCUAUUGAUAUUUAAAAACCCUUUAAUUUGCCAGUUCUUUUGUUUGAGAGAGCAAAGAUUGUGCAAAUACAUAGCGUUUUAAGUGCUUAAAUAUUGCUUUUAAAACGCUACUUCCUGGAGACGAUGAACUCGACAAAAUUCUCUAAAAGAAAGUAAAUAACGGAUUUGUGUUUCAUCGACUUAGCGACUUUCCUUCUAGUAUUAAGCAAAAGACAAUGUAAAAUCCAUUUUCACGAGGAACGCUAUUUAGACGCUGAUUAUCAACAGCCUCUUGAUUUUUUAUUAGACGGGAUAAAAAGAAGUAAAGAUAUAUCCAAAAAGCAUUUUACGCUUCAACAUGAAGACGACGUGCCUGUUUGUUGUUCUUUUGUAUACAGUGAUAGCAUCGAUAUUCAUGCAAAUGACCGUAGGCAGUACCUGUGCGCGAAGCUUUUGUGGGAAAAUGGGGAAAAAAUUCAAGCCAAGCGUCGCGGAUGAAAUUAUGCAAUUUGACAUCGGGAACCGAAUGGAUUGCGCAAUGGCGUGUGCUGACCUUCCCGACUGCCAGUCGUACGGCAUCAAAAAUGUGGGAACACUGCGUUGCACUUUGAACAGGAACAAAGCUGCAGAUGACGGAGAACUUUUGAAUUACCCAAGCGGAAAUUAUGACUACUACCAUCUCUAGAAACCCGCUAGCCGUUCUUAUCUAUAAACAAAGCGACAAUCUACCAAAGUCCGCUGUGUUAACAAAUAACGGCACGUACCUAAUAACACAACAAACAGGACUGAUGGAACGGUCAGGAAAUAAGAGCAGUUAUCAUCCAUUUGUCCACACAAAUUUGUCAAUACAUUGAUUUCAGGCUGGUGGUUAUACGUGAGGCGAAGCCUAGAAACUUUUACCACACCCAUUCACGUAAUCGACUUACUGGUCAUCAAACACGACUUGGAGGACUGGUGGCUGAAUUUGGC